rnacentral:rRNA from 1 species
GUCGAGAAUAUUUGUCAAUGCACGAAAGUGUGAACAUGCGACGCCGCGUGGAGGACGAAGGCCUUCGGGUUGUAAACUCCUGUCAUGAGGGAAUAAGUGCAGGCCGGUUAAUACCCGGUCUGUUUGACAGUACCUCAAGAGGAAGUCACGGCUAACUCUGUGCCAGCAGCCGCGGUAAUACAGAGGUGGCAAGUGUUGUUCGGAUUUACUGGGCGUAAAGGGUCCGCAGGCGGUUUUGUGUGUCAGAUGUGAAAGCCCACGGCUUAACCGUGGAACUGCAUUUGAAACUACAGAACUAGAGUACGGGAGAGGAGAGGGGAAUUCAUGGUGUAGCGGUGAAAUGCGUAGAUAUCAUGAAGAACACCGGUGGCGAAAGCGCCUCUCUGGACCGAUACUGACGCUCAUGGACGAAAGCCAGGGGAGCAAAGAGGAUUAGAAACCCCAGUAGUCC